UACGGAGGGGGCUAGCGUUGUUCGGAAUUACUGGGCGUAAAGCGCACGUAGGCGGAUUAGUCAGUCAGAGGUGAAAUCCCAGGGCUCAACCCUGGAACUGCCUUUGAUACUGCUAGUCUUGAGGUCGAGAGAGGUGAGUGGAAUUCCGAGUGUAGAGGUGAAAUUCGUAGAUAUUCGGAGGAACACCAGUGGCGAAGGCGGCUCACUGGCUCGAUACUGACGCUGAGGUGCGAAAGCGUGGGGAGCAAACAGG
rnacentral:rRNA from 1 species